rnacentral:rRNA from 1 species
GGGGAAUAUUGGACAAUGGGGGCAACCCUGAUCCAGCAAUGCCGCGUGUGUGAAGAAGGCCUUCGGGUUGUAAAGCACUUUUAUCGGGAACGAAACAUUGUCGGCCAAUACCCGGCAAGACUGACGGUACCCGAGGAAUAAGCACCGGCUAACUCCGUGCCAGCAGCCGCGGUAAUACGGAGGGUGCAAGCGUUAAUCGGAAUUACUGGGCGUAAAGCGUGCGCAGGCGGUUUGUUAAGUCUGCUGUGAAAUCCCCGAGCUCAACUUGGGAAUUGCAGUGGAUACUGGCAAGCUGGAGUACGGUAGAGGAAGGUGGAAUUCCCGGUGUAGCAGUGAAAUGCGUAGAGAUCGGGAGGAACACCAGUGGCGAAGGCGGCCUUCUGGACCAGUACUGACGCUCAUGCACGAAAGCGUGGGGAGCAAACA